AUUGAACGCUGGCGGCAGGCUUAACACAUGCAAGUCGAGCGGAGAGAGGUAGCUUGCUACUGAUCUUAGCGGCGGACGGGUGAGUAAUGCUUAGGAAUCUGCCUAUUAGUGGGGGACAACAUUUCGAAAGGAAUGCUAAUACCGCAUACGUCCUACGGGAGAAAGCAGGGGAUCUUCGGCCCUUGCGCUAAUAGAUGAGCCAAAGUCGGAUUAGCUAGUUGGUGGGGUAAAGGCCUACCAAGGCGACGAUCUGUAGCGGGUCUGAGAGGAUGAUCCGCCACACUGGGAAUGAGACACGGCCCAGACUCCUACGGGAGGCAGCAGUGGGGAAUAUUGGACAAUGGGCGCAAGCCUGAUCCAGCCAUGCCGCGUGUGUGAAGAAGGCCUUAUGGUUGUAAAGCACUUUAAGCGAGGAGGAGGCUACUUUAGUUAAUACCUAGAGAUAGUGGACGUUACUCGCAGAAUAAGCACCGGCUAACUCUGUGCCAGCCGCCGCGGUAACAC
rnacentral:rRNA from 1 species